CCUACGGGAGGCAGCAGUGAGGAAUAUUGGUCAAUGGACGAGAGUCUGAACCAGCCAAGUAGCGUGAAGGAUGACUGCCCUAUGGGUUGUAAACUUCUGUUAUAAAGGAAUAAAACGAGGCACGUGUGCCUUUUUGCAUGUACUUUAUGAAUAAGGAUCGGCUAACUCCGUGCCAGCAGCCGCGGUAAUACGGAGGAGCCGAGCGUUAUCCGGAUUUAUUGGGUUUAAAGGGAGCGUAGACGGGUUGUUAAGGCAGUUGUGAAAGUUUGCGGCUCAACCGUAAAAUUGCAAUUGAUACUGGCAGUCUUGUGUACAGUUGAGGUCGGCGGACUUCGUGGUGUAGCGG
rnacentral:rRNA from 1 species